GACGAACGCUGGCGGCGUGCUUAACACAUGCAAGUCGAGCGGUAAGGCCCUUUCGGGGGUACGACGAGCGGCGAACGGGUGAGUAACACGUGGGUGACCUGCCCUCAGCUCUGGGAGUAAGCCUGGGAAACUGGGUCUAAUACCGGAUAUGACUCCAUGACGCAUGUUGGUGGGGUGGAAAGCCUUGUGCGGCUGAGGAUGGGCCCGCGGCCUAUCAGCUUGUUGGUGGGGUGAGGCCUACCAAGGCGACGACGGGUAGCCGGCCUGAGAGGGCGACCGGCCACACUGGGACGUGAGACACGGCCCAGACUCCUACGGGAGGCAGCAGUGGGGAAGUCUUGCGCAAUGGGCGAAAGCCUGACGCAGCGACGCCGCGUGAGGGAUGACGG
rnacentral:rRNA from 1 species